UUUCCGUAGGUGAACCUGCGGAAGGAUCAUUAAUGAGUUGUCAUGGGGUUCGAUGCUGGCAGCCAAUUUUUGGAUGCAUGUGCUUGCCCUAACAAUCAUCUUCCAAACACCUGUGCACAUUUUUGAGGGAGUCUUGAGUUGGUUGCCGCUCUUGGGUGAUUUUCUCACAUUCCCUUAAAUCAUUAUACGCUAUUAACAAUGCUGAACGUGCUCUGUGCCGCAAGGCUAUUAAUAUAAUACAACUUUUAACAACGGAUCUCUUGGCUCUC
rnacentral:misc_RNA from 1 species